rnacentral:tRNA from 1 species
GCUCGGUAGCUUAGUUGGUAAAGCACUUGUCUAACAUACAAGAGUCGUAGGUGCGAAUCCAACCUGAGAGCA